rnacentral:misc_RNA from 1 species
AACAAGGCGUACCUGCGGACCUGCGGAGGGAUCAUUACCGAGUUUACAACUCCCAAACCCCUGUGAACAUACCUAUACGUUGCCUCGGCGGAUCAGCCCGCGCCCUGUAAAACGGGACGGCCCGCCCGAGGACCCUAAACUCUGUUUUUAGUGGAACUUCUGAGUAAAACAAACAAAUAAAUCAAAACUUUCAGCAACGGAUCU